UACAGAGGGGGCAAGCGUUUAUUCGGAAUUAUUGGGCGUAAAGGGCGCGUAGGCGGCUUUGCAAGUGACGGGUGAAAUCCCUCGGCUUAACCGAGGAACUGCCUGUCAAACUGCAUGGCUUGAGACCGGGAGAGGUGAGUGGAAUUCCCAGUGUAGCGGUGAAAUGCGUAGAUAUUGGGAGGAACACCAGUGGCGAAGGCGGCUCACUGGACCGGUACUGACGCUGAUGCGCGAAAGCGUGGGGGAGCAAACAGG
rnacentral:rRNA from 1 species